rnacentral:misc_RNA from 1 species
AAGUCGUAACAAGGUUUCCGUAGGUGAACCUGCGGAAGGAUCAUUACCAAAUUUUCCCCUUGUACCAAAUUAUAUAUUACACCAUGUGUGAACUGAUUUGAUAUCCUCACUUGGCCUGUUGUUGAGAUGGGCCAAGUGUGUUUAAACCCCUGUUUAACUUUUGAACAUUUUUCUGCGCCUUUUCACCAAGGUGAAGAUUGGCGAUAAAGAAAUUACAUAAACAACUUUUAACGGUGGAUCUCUUGGCUCGC